UACGUAGGAGGCAAGCGUUGUCCGGAAUUACUGGGCGUAAAGCGCGUGUAGGUGGUGGGACAAGUCUGCUGUGAAAGCGCCUGGCUUAACCGGGCGAGGUCGGCGGAAACUGGUCGACUCGAGGACGGUAGAGGGGGGUGGAAUUCCCAGUGUAGUGGUGAAAUGCGUAGAGAUCGGGAGGAACACCUGUGGCGAAGGCGGCCCCCUGGGCCGGCCCUGACACUGAGACGCGAAGGCGUGGGGAGCGAACAGG
rnacentral:rRNA from 1 species